rnacentral:rRNA from 1 species
GACGAACGCUGGCGGCGUGCCUAAUACAUGCAAGUCGAACGCUGAAGAGAGGAGCUUGCUCUUCUUGGAUGAGUUGCGAACGGGUGAGUAACGCGUAGGUAACCUGCCUUGUAGCGGGGGAUAACUAUUGGAAACGAUAGCUAAUACCGCAUAACAAUGGAUGACACAUGUCAUUUAUUUGAAAGGGGCAAUUGCUCCACUACAAGAUGGACCUGCGUUGUAUUAGCUAGUAGGUGAGGUAAUGGCUCACCUAGGCGACGAUACAUAGCCGACCUGAGAGGGUGAUCGGCCACACUGGGACUGGGACACGGCCCAGACUCCUACGGGAGGCAGCAGUAGGGAAUCUUCGGCAAUGGGGGCAACCCUGACCGAGCAACGCCGCGUGAGGGAAGAAGGUUUUCGGAUCGUAAAGCUCUGUUGUAAGUCAAGAACGGGUGUGAGAGUGGAAAGUUCACACUGUGACGGUAGCUUACCAGAAAGGGACGGCUAACUACGUG